GCGACUGCAGCGAGCCCUAGGUCAGUACUCUCCGAUGCACCCGCGCGAGUGCAUUCGCGUCGCGAACCGCUCGCACGUCAAAAAUCACACACCGAGUCCCCGAGUCUCGGUACCGCGCGUCGGGACUUUCAAAUAAAGAGCCUCGGGUUUUUUCUAGACGAAACUGUGCCAGGGAUGCAUCGCGAGGCGUCUUCGCCGCCAUGUUGGAUCGCCGGAUGAGCUGAUGCUGCACUCUCGACACGUGUGCGGUACACGAGACGCGUCGCGUGGUGCAGCGCGUGGUGCAGCGGUCGCAGGCGACAACUACGAGUGUGAGAGCACUGUGUCGGACAUCCCCUACCGACUAAUCGAUUGAGCGAGACUGGAGAGACGUCACGCGCCGUCACCCGCACCACUAGCGUCACCCAGAGACCAGCUCCACCUAGAGACCAGCUCAUCAUCAUCAAAAUAUCUAAUGAUCCUCAAAGGAGAGCGAAUUUAGUUCAGAUUUAUCUCGCCAUUCCGAUACGGGUUGUCGGGGUCAGGGUGGUAAUGUAGGACGAUCACUAUCAGAUGUUGGUGACUACGAUGGGACGGAGGGCAGCACACCACCGCAGACUUGCAACUCCAGGCUGAUACAGAGAAUGUAGUGGAAAGAAAACAAAUCCAAUAUUAUAUGCAACAUCGUCGUCUGUAAACAUGAAACAACCACUGGCUGCUGCGUCUUUCCAGCACACGCGGGCCCUGCUUAUGAGAGCCGCGAACGGUGCUGUGACGUCACAAGUUGGCAGCGGCGCUGUACGACACGAGUUGGCAGCGGUGCUGUGACGACACGAGUUGGCAGCGGCGCUGUGCUACACAUGCAGAACGUUCGCUCAUUGGUGCUACAAAAAACGGCCGGCGUCAGAGCUGAGUCGUGACGUCAUCAACACGCAACGUUCGGCUCACACUCGCACCGAACGAGAAGUACAAGGAGAAGAUCCUUCUGUGAUGGUCCUUGCUUCGACGAGAGCAACUUACGUGGUAUCUUAUUCUUAGCAUUGCAUGAAUUCGCUCUGCGGGUGUCGGGUCCACCGAGUGACAGGGCGAAACCCUCGUCGAGGGGCCUGUGCCCCGGGUGUAGAGUAAUGGAGCUCCUUCAUAACAUGCCAACAUCACCUUCUGUGUUCUAUAUAAUGCUAAGAUACGGUAAGUAUCAGAAUAUAAUCGUAUACGCUCGUCAGUAAAUUAUUAAUGGAAAAAAAUAAAUGAUAGAUAAAUAGGUUGCCUAGUUAAAUUGCGUUUAAUACAGUUAAAUUAUGCAUAAAAUAAGCUUUCAUUUGACAUAUUGGACGACUAAAUAACUUUAAAAACAUUACUCAAGUGUUUAUAUAGUUAUGGCAACCCCACAAUUGCAGUGUGAAAGCAGGCAAUUUUUAACAAAUUUAAUAGAAAUGAAAAUGAUUUUUUUUUUCUUUUUAAUCAUUACAUUAAAUAAUAGGGCUAAGAUCUUCUUUUAAGUGAAUACCUGUGUCAGAAGAUCUCGCUCUUCCUUUAUAACAUCAUAGUCGUAACUACGGUAUUUUAUAAUGUUUAAAAAAAUUAAACAUUGAAACUAUCCUGCCGCAAUUAUAAUAUGUGAA
rnacentral:lncRNA from 1 species